GGUUCUGUAGCUCAACUGAAUAGAGCAUCUCACUACGGAUGAGAAGGUUUCAGGUUUGAAUCCUGACAGGAUCA
rnacentral:tRNA from 1 species